GAUGAACGCUGGCGGCGUGCCUAAUACAUGCAAGUCGAGCGAACAGAUGAGGAGCUUGCUCCUCUGACGUUAGCGGCGGACGGGUGAGUAACACGUGGAUAACCUACCUAUAAGACUGGGAUAACUUCGGGAAACCGGAGCUAAUACCGGAUAAUAUAUUGAACCGCAUGGUUCAAUAGUGAAAGACGGUUUUGCUGUCACUUAUAGAUGGAUCCGCGCCGCAUUAGCUAGUUGGUAAGGUAACGGCUUACCAAGGCAACGAUGCGUAGCCGACCUGAGAGGGUGAUCGGCCACACUGGAACUGAGACACGGUCCAGACUCCUACGGGAGGCAGCAGUAGGGAAUCUUCCGCAAUGGGCGAAAGCUUGACGGAGCAACGCCGCGCGAGUGAUGAAGGUCUUCGGAUCGUAAAACUCUGUUAUUAGGGAAGAACAAAUGUGUAAGUAACUAUGCACGUCUUGACGGUACCUAAUCAGAAAGCCACGGCUAACUACGUG
rnacentral:rRNA from 1 species